rnacentral:rRNA from 1 species
UGCGUAGGCGGUGCGGGAAGUUGGGUGUGAAAUCCCUCGGCUCAACCGAGGAACUGCGCCCAAAACUCCCGUGCUAGAGGGAGACAGAGGUGAGCGGAACUUAGGGUGGAGCGGUGAAAUGCGUUGAUAUCCUAAGGAACACCUGUGGCGAAAGCGGCUCACUGGGUCUUUUCUGACGCUGAGGCACGAAAGCUAGGGGAGCGAACG